rnacentral:lncRNA from 1 species
GGGGCUACUCCAGCCCCAACAUCACCACUGCCAGCAACCAAUACUACAUCCCCGCCUCCAACAGCUGCCGCGACUCCGCCGCCUACUACUACUCCUUCCCCACCACCCGUUACCCCAUCAGCUCCUCCUCCUUCUACCACUCCAUCCCCUCCUCCUCCUUCCACUUCAUCACCUCCGCCUUCAUCCUCUGCCUCUCCACCUCCUCCGGCCACUGAAUCCCCACCCCCAUCAUCCUCAAAUCCUUCCCCUCCGCCGCCUUCCUCAUCAACACCAUCUCCGCCGCCGCCACCGAGGAGUCCCGGUACUGCAUCUCCACCAC